rnacentral:rRNA from 1 species
GGGCCCGCACAAGCGGUGGAGCAUGUGGUUUAAUUCGAUGAUACGCGAGGAACCUUACCAGGGCUUAAAUGUAGGUUGCAUGAUCUAGAGAUAGAUCUUUCUUCGGACUACCUACAAGGUGCUGCAUGGUUGUCGUCAGCUCGUGCCGUGAGGUGUCAGGUUAAGUCCUAUAACGAGCGCAACCCCUGUCGUUAGUUACCAGCAAUUAAAGUUGGGUACUCUAGCGAGACUGCCGGUGCAAACCGUGAGGAAGGUGGGGAUGACGUCAAAUCAUCACGGCCCUUACGUCCUGGCUACACACGUGCUACAAUGGCCGGUACAGAGAGCAGCCACUACGCGAGUAGGAGCG